rnacentral:misc_RNA from 1 species
CUAGUCUCUCCACACCAGUAGUCAAGACGUGUUUUACGCGAUCAGAGCACCUAAGUUAAUCGAUCCACAUCUAUAAACUACCCGAUAAGAUAAAUAACCAAACUUAAAGUAAACACGACCUCCACUUGGAGAUUAAGCCAUGAUCAACUUAUUGCGCUUCAAUCAAACUGCAACAGUCAACAAAUUUCAAUUUCACAAGGCAGUGAAAAACCUUCAGCAUAAAGCAUGUAUGCUAAACAUGCCUGAAAGUUCAAAAAGUUCGAGUGAAAAGCUUCUGGCUAAGGUUGAUUGGAUCAGGAUUAAGAAUUGGAAGAUCAGUCUGAAUCGGGACGAGAUCAUGAACAGCUUCAAACCAAAGCUAUGCUAAUAUUAAAGUGUCUUGUAAUAGAAUAAGUGAAAAAGUCUAUCACCAAAUAAAUA